rnacentral:rRNA from 1 species
UACGUAGGGACCAAGCGUUGUCCGGAUUUACUGGGCGUAAAGGGCGCGUAGGCGGCAAUUCAAGUCAUCUGUGAAAUCUCCGAGCUUAACUCGGAACGGUCAGAUGAUACUGCUUUGCUAGAGUGCAGAAGGGGCAACCGGAAUUCUUGGUGUAGCGGUGAAAUGCGUAGAUAUCAAGAGGAACACCGGAGGUGAAGACGGGUUGCUGGGCUGACACUGACGCUGAGGCGCGAAAGCUAGGGUAGCAAACGGG